GGCUCGGUAGCUCAGUGGUUAGAGCAUCCAAUUUGCAAUAUGGAGGUCGGAGGUUCAAAUCCUUCCCGAGCUG